rnacentral:rRNA from 1 species
GAUGAACGCUGGCGGCGUGCUUAACACAUGCAAGUCGAACGGAAAGGCCAGUGCUUGCACUGGUACUCGAGUGGCGAACGGGUGAGUAACACGUGGGUGAUCUGCCCUGCACUUCGGGAUAAGCCUGGGAAACUGGGUCUAAUACCGGAUAGGACAAUGGUUUGGAUGCCGUUGUGGAAAGUUUUUUCGGUGUGGGAUGAGCUCGCGGCCUAUCAGCUUGUUGGUGGGGUAAUGGCCUACCAAGGCGUCGACGGGUAGCCGGCCUGAGAGGGUGUACGGCCACAUUGGGACUGAGAUACGGCCCAGACUCCUACGGGAGGCAGCAGUGGGGAAUACUGCACAAUGGGCGCAAGCCUGAUGCAGCGACGCCGCGUGGGGGAUGACGGCCUUCGGGUUGUAAACUCCUUUCGCUAGGGACGAAGCGUAUUUGUGACGGUACCUGGAGAAGAAGCACCGGCUAACUACGUG